rnacentral:rRNA from 1 species
GAAUCCAUAGGUUAAUGAGGCGAACCGGGGGAACUGAAACAUCUAAGUACCCCGAGGAAAAGAAAUCAACCGAGAUUCCCCCAGUAGCGGCGAGCGAACGGGGAGCAGCCCAGAGCCUGAAUCAGUGUGUGUGUUAGUGGAAGCGUCUGGAAAGGCGCGCGAUACAGGGUGACAGCCCCGUACACAAAAAUGCACAUGCUGUGAGCUCGAUGAGUAGGGCGGGACACGUGGUAUCCUGUCUGAAUAUGGGGGGACCAUCCUCCAAGGCUAAAUACUCCUGACUGACCGAUAGUGAACCAGUACCGUGAGGGAAAGGCGAAAAGAACCCCGGCGAGGGGAGUGAAAAAGAACCUGAAACCGUGUACGUACAAGCAGUGGGAGCACGCUUAGGCGUGUGACUGCGUACCUUUUGUAUAAUGGGUCAGCGACUUAUAUUCUGUAGCAAGGUUAACCGAAUAGGGGAGCCGAAGGGAAACCGAGUCU